UCCAUGUUGAAUCAUGCAGACAAAUGUACUAUGUGAUAUUUUUAAAGGAAGCCAUUCAAGUGUUUCAAUCAUGGAUUUUAAGUCUUCAUACUCUUAAUGCUUGGCAUUUUGUUAUCAAUUAUUAUUUUAAUAUCCUUUUUAUCUAUUAUGUUUGCUUGUGCUUAGCAACGUAGAUCAAUAUUUAUUUCCAGCAUGACAAUUAUGAAUUCAAAUUUGUUUAGGAAACUCAUAUUGAUGGUGAUCUCGAACUUCUAGAUGACUUUGAAUUUUAUCAGCAAUUACUAAAAGAGUUUUUCGAGACAGUUGAUCCUACAUCAUCCGAGAAAGCACUUUAUGCCUUGAAGAAGAUGCAACCAAAGAAAAGGAAAAUUGUUGAUCGUCGGGCCUCAAAAAGGUCGCAAGAUAAGGUUAGUUGAUGAAGAUGGCAUUUCCUUGUUUUGUACCAUUACUUUUUGUCACGUGUAUAUACAUACAUACUGCUAAAUUCUCCAGAACUGAAAAAGAGAUUUUUGACUAAUUUGCGAUUUAUAUUGUGCGAUGUGGCAUUGAGGGUAUAAUGUUCAUGAAAAUAUUGUAAACUUCAUGGCUCCUGAGUCCAUGAAUCUUCCACCUAUGGUUCCUAAACUUUUUGAAGAUUUGUUUGGAUUAAAGUCACAGAGAUCAUCUGUUGGGAUAGCAUAA